rnacentral:rRNA from 1 species
GGAAUAUUGGACAAUGGGGGCAACCCUGAUCCAGCCAUGCCGCGUGCGUGAAGAAGGCCUUAGGGUUGUAAAGCGCUUUCACUGGUGAAGAUGAUGACGGUAGCCAGAGAAGAAGCCCCGGCUAACUCCGUGCCAGCAGCCGCGGUAAUACGGAGGGGGCAAGCGUUGUUCGGAAUUACUGGGCGUAAAGGGCGCGUAGGCGGAACGUCAAGUUAGGGGUGAAAGGCCUGGGCUCAACCUAGGAACGGCCUCUAAAACUGACGAUCUAGAGUCCGGAAGAGGAUGGCGGAAUUCCCAGUGUAGAGGUGAAAUUCGUAGAUAUCGGGAGGAACACCAGUGGCGAAGGCGGAGACCUGGGCCGAUACUGACGCUGAGGUGCGAAAGCGUGGGGAGCAAAC